CUUUAGCAGCACAGAACACUUUCUCCUCUGGCUGCCUCUGUUACCAGUAAGGGAAAUGGAAAAAUGUUGCCUUUUUCCAGAACAUGAGCACGAAUCCUUGAAGUAUCAAUGACGAGUGCUGGGAUGCAAGGUCAUGGUGACAAGGUCACGGUGAAGCCUUGCCUGCUGGCACUGAAUAGGGGCUCACUGCUGCACUAGCGGCUGGCCCUGAACAACUGCAGGGGCUCACCCUGCUCUGGGGCUUCCCCUGCACUGAACCAGAGGCCUCAAAUCCAGCCCGUGCCCCAGGCCACCACAGGCCACCACCAGUGGCCCAGCUGGCUCUGUGCACACCCACGCUGGGGAAAUGCUUUUCUCUUUGUGUGCCAGGGACGACUCACGUCCCUCAACCCAGCAAACAUUUGUGUAGGUGUUUGGGCUGGGUUGUGAACCUCAGUCCUGAGUUUCGAUGGGAGACUGCCUGAGAAUUUGACCAAGCUGUUGAAGGCUCAGGUGCCUGCGUAAAUACCUUCCCACGCACACCGAGUGGAUCGCUGUGCAGCCUCACCAGGAUAAUUCGUGUGGCACCGUGCCUCAGAGAACUCGGAGAACAGGUGUAGUUUGAGCAGAGUUUACUUUACAAGUCUAAUCACCUUUAAAGUAUCUUUGCAGUAAGAGACAAAGUAAGUAUUUCUCCUCUGCAAUUUUUACUUAUUGCAGUACAGCAAGGGCCCCAUGAAGCAAGGAAUGCUUUCCCUGGGCUUGAAUAAGGCAUUCAUUUUAGCAUGGUUUGUGGAAGAUGCCAGUCUAGAGCUGCAAUCAUGAGAUACAUUUCAACAAAAACCACAAAGGCCACUAUCUGGGAGAGCAAAGAAGAGAACAUUGAUGAGCACAUACAGGAAAGGUCUGCGUGGCUGUUUUUGAAGAGGAAGGAAGAAAAUCUUGUUGGUAGCACAAGGACAAAGGUGGCAACACACUAGAAAGGGUGUGCAACAAGAAUUUAAAAAUGGGUUUAACAACAGAUAUUCAGACGUGACGAAGAAAUUUAGCAGUAAGUGCAGGUAAGACAAGCUGUUCUGUAUAGGGAAAAUCUAUGGGAAAAUGGGAGUUGAGAGUAACAG
rnacentral:lncRNA from 1 species